rnacentral:rRNA from 1 species
UACUACGGCCAUGCCAUCCUGAACAAGCCCGAUCCCGUCUGAUCUCAGAAGCUAAGCAGGGUCGGGCCUGGUUAGUACGUGGAUGGGAGACCCCCUAGGAAGACCAGGUGCUGUAGGCA